rnacentral:rRNA from 1 species
GAAACUCAAAUGAAUUGACGGGACCCGCACAAGCGGUGGAUGAUGUGGUUUAAUUCGAUGCAACGCGAAAACCUUACCCACCUUUGACAUGGCAGGAAUCCUAAAGAGAUUUGGAGUGCUCGAAAGAGAACCUGCACACAGGUGCUGCAUGGCUGUCGUCAGCUCGUGUCGUGAGAUGUUGGGUUAAGUCCCGCAACGAGCGCAACCCUUGCCAUUAGUUGCUACGAAAGGGCACUCUAAUGGGACUGCCGGUGACAAACCGGAGGAAGGUGGGGAUGACGUCAAGUCCUCAUGGCCCUUAUAGGUGGGGCUACACACGUCAUACAAUGGCCGGUACAGAGGGUAGCCAACCCGCGAGGGGGAGCCAAUCCCACAAAGCCGGUCGUAGUCCGGAUCGCAGUCUGCAACUCGACUGCGUGAAGUCGGAAUCGCUAGUAAUCGCGGAUCAGCAUGUCGCGGUGAAUACGUUCCCGGGUCUU